UUUUUUUUUUGUCUUUUUCUAGGGCCGCAACCGAGGCAUAUGGAGGUUCCUAGGCUAGGGGUCCAAUCGGAGCUGUAGCCGCCAGCCUACACCAGAGUCACAGCAAUGCAGGAUCUGAGCCAUGUCUGUGACCUACACCACAGCUCACAGCAACGCCAGAUACUUAACCCACUGACCUAGGCGAGGGAUCGAACCUGCAACCUCAUAGUUCUUAGUCAGAUUCGUUAACCACUGAGCCAUGACGGGAACUUGGUUUUGAAAAUUAUUAAUUUCAUUUUCAAAUAAUUUUCUGGUGUAGGAGUUCCCAUUGUAGCUCAGUGGUCAAGGGUCCAACAUUUUCUCUGUGAGUCUGACCCACUGCCUUGCUCACUAGGUUAAAGGAUCUAGUGUUGUUAUAGCUGUGGUAUAGGUAGCAGCUUCGGCUCAGAUUCCCCUGGCCUGGGAACAUCCAUAUGCUGCAGGUGUGGCAAUUAAAAAAAAAAGAUUAAUCAGGAACCACUAUUGUAAGGAGUUGUAACCAAUCACCACCACCAUUACCCAAAGUUAUUUCUACUCUUGAGUUGAAAAAAACUGUCUUAGAUUUUUACUUUAAUAGGUGAACCCAUUCUCCCUAGCAGUGCCCAGCUCUUGGUUAUCAUCUUUGUCUUGACUGAUUGUCUUCUCCAACAUUUCAGGUAUUUUACUGCCUUAAGGUGAUCACAUUUGGUAUUCCCUAGACAUUCUUCCCCCCAUAUAUCUACCAGGUUUCCUACCUCACCUUCAGAUUUUACUCAAAUUUCACCUUCUCAGGGAAGCCUUUAAAGACUGUCCUCUAUUUAUUGUCCUUAUGCCUUUUCUCUUCCACUGCUUUUUCUCCGUUAACGUACAUGUAACAUCUACAUGUCUUUAAUUAUGUUCACUCUCUUCAUAUGGCUGUCAAUUCUCUUCUACAUUGUAGCUGACUUUGUAGAUGAUAUGCAGCUUAAAUCUUUUUUUUUUUUUAAGGGCCGCAUCCGUGGCAUAUGGAGGUUCCUGGGCUAGGGGUCAAACCUAAGCCAUAGCCACUCAACAGAAACGCCACAUCCGAGCCCCAUCUGCGACCUACACCAUAGCUCAUGGAAAUGCUGGAUCCUUAACCCACUGAGCGAGGCCAGGGACUAAACCUGUGCCCUCAUGGAUGCUAGUCAGAUUCGUUUCUGCUGAGACACACAGGAACUCCCAGCUUAAACCUUUGUAGUGUUAUAAUCAACAAAUUAAGGUUCUCUAGGGUAUGAUUCUCAUUCUUUAAAUAACUUAGCUUAAAGAACAAAAAUCUUCUAGAGACCGACAAGAGAUGGCUUUGCUCUUUGGAUAGCCUUUACUGGCAAAAAAAUUUUAAAAGACAUUUUGGAAGGUUAGCUUUUUAAUAAAGAUGUCAGGGGUACUUCAAUUCCAUAGAUUCCCCUUGAUCUAUUAUAGAGAUCAUAUCUAAUUUUAUUCCCAUUGCUUUGAAGGAGAAAACAAAGGAGGCUUAAGCUCCUGUAAUAAAUACCCUUUUAUAAAGGUCACCCAAAAAAUCAUCCACCUCUUCGUUAAAACAGCCUCCCUUUUUAUCACAUUACCAUCAUUUAAAUGUGUUUCCUACUUACAAUGUGGGCUUCUUAAAGAAAUGAAUUUAUCAGAGUUCCUGUUGUGGCUCAGAAUUAAACUAGUAUCCAUAAGGAUUUGGGUUCAAUCUCCAUGGGUAUUAGUCGGGUUCAUUACUGCUAAGCCACAAUGGGAACUCCAAUACCAUUCUAAUUAAAAAAACAAAAAGAAAGAAAUGAAUUUAC
ensembl:lncRNA